rnacentral:rRNA from 1 species
CCUACGGGUGGCAGCAGUGAGGAAUAUUGGUCAAUGGCCGUAAGGCUGAACCAGCCAAGUCGCGUGAAGGAAGAAGGAUCUAUGGUUUGUAAACUUCUUCUAUAGGGGAAUAGAGGUAUCCUCGUGUGGAUAUUUGCAUGUACCCUAUGAAUAAGCAUCGGAUAACUCCGUGCCAGCCGCCGCGGUACUACGGAGGAUGCGAGCGUUAUCCGGAUUUGUUGGGUUUAAAGGGAGCGUAGGUUGUGUUUUAAGUCAGCGGUGAAAGUUAGUGGCUCAACCAUAAAAUUGCCGUUGAUACUGGAUGACGUGAGUGUGUUUGAGGUAGGCGGAAUGCGUGGUGUAGCGGUGAAAUGCAUAGAUAUCACGCAGAACUCCGAGUGCGAAGGCAGCUUACUAAGCCAUAACUGACACUGAUGCACGAAAGCGUGGGGAUCAAACAGGAUUAGAUACCCUAGUAGUC